rnacentral:rRNA from 1 species
UGUGUCAGCAUUUAGGCUGUCCCAUGCCAAACCUAUCUGAUCUUGGAAAUUAAGCAGGGCUGAGCCUAGUUGAUAAUUGGAUGACGGACCUCCUGGGAAUACCAGUUGCUGUAUAU